GAUGAACGCUGGCGGCGGGCCUAAUACAUGCAAGUCGAGCGAACAGACGAGGAGCUUGCUCCUCUGACGUUAGCGGCGGACGGGUGAGUAACACGUGGAUAACCGACAUAGAAGACUGGGAUAAGUUCGGGAAACCGGAGCUAAUACCGGAUAAUAUAUUGAACCGCAUGGUUCAAUAGUGAAAGACGGUUUUGCUGUCACUUAUAGAUGGAUCCGCGCCGCAUUAGCUAGUUGGUAAGGUAACGGCCUACCAAGGCAACGAUGCGUAGCCGACCUGAGAGGGUGAUCAGCCACACUGGAACUGAGACACGGUCCAGACUCCUACGGGAGGCAGCAGUAGGGAAUAUUCGGCAAUGGGCGAAAGCCUGACGGAGCAACGCCGCGUGAGUGAUGAAGGUCUUCGGAUCGUAAAACUCUGUUAUUAGGGAAGAACAAAUGUAUAAGUAAAUAUGCACGUCUUGACGGUACCUAAACAGAAAGCCACGGCUAACUACGUG
rnacentral:rRNA from 1 species